GACGAACGCUGGCGGCGUGCUUAACACAUGCAAGUCGAACGGUAAGGCCCUUCGGGGUACACGAGUGGCGAACGGGUGAGUAACACGUGGGUGAUCUGCCCCACACUUCGGGAUAAGCCUGGGAAACUGGGUCUAAUACCGGAUAGGACUACUGCCUGCAGGGGUGGUGGUGGAAAGCUUUUGCGGGGUGGGAUGGGCCCGCGGCCGAUCAGCUUGUUGGUGGGGUGAUGGGCUACCAAGGCGACGACGGGUAGCCGGCCUGAGAGGGUGACCGGCCACACUGGGACUGAGAUACGGCCCAGACUCCUACGGGAGGCAGCAGUGGGGAAUAUUGCACAAUGGGCGCAAGCCUGAUGCAGCGACGCCGCGUGAGGGAUGACGGCCUUCGGGUUGUAAACCUCUUUCAGCACCGACGAAGCGCAAGUGACGGUAGGUGCAGAAGAAGGACCGGCCAACUACGUGCCAGCAGCCGCCGUAA
rnacentral:rRNA from 1 species